UACAGAGGAGCCAAGCGUUGUCCGGAUUUACUGGGCGUAAAGGGCUCGUAGGUGGCCAACUAAGUCAGACGUGAAAUCCCUCGGCUUAACCGGGGAACUGCGUCUGAUACUGGAUGGCUUGAGUUCGGGAGAGGGAUGCGGAAUUCCAGGUGUAGCGGUGAAAUGCGUAGAUAUCUGGAGGAACACCGGUGGCGAAGGCGGCAUCCUGGACCGGUAUUGACGCUGAGGCGCGAAAGCUAGGGGAGCAAACGGGG
rnacentral:rRNA from 1 species